rnacentral:rRNA from 1 species
CCCUUAGAUGUCCUGGGCCGCACGCGCGUUACACUGAUGCAUUCAACGAGCUUAUAACCUUGGCCGAGAGGCCUGGGCAAUCUUGUUAACGUGCAUCGUGAUAGGGAUAGAUUAUUGAAAUUAUUAAUCUUGAACGAGGAAUUCCUAGUAAACGCAGAUCAUCAAUCUGCUUUGAUUACGCCCCUGCCCUUUGUACACACCGCCCGUCGCACCUACCGAUUGGAUGGUCCGGUGAAGCCUCGGGAUUGUGGUUCUUGCCGCUUUAUUGUGGCGUGACCGCGAGAACUUGUCUAAACCUUAUCAUCUAGAGGAAGGUGAAGUCGUAACA